UACGUAGGGUGCAAGCGUUGUCCGGAAUUAUUGGGCGUAAAGAGCUCGUAGGCGGUUUGUCGCGUCGGCUGUGAAAACCUAGGGCUCAACUCUGGGCUUGCAGCCGAUACGGGCAAACUAGAAUUCGGUAGGGGAGACUGGAAUUUACGGUGUAGCAGUGAAAUGCGUAGAUAUCGUAAGGAAGGCCGGUGGCGAAAGCGAGCCUCUGGACAGUUACUGACGCUGAUGCACGAAGGCCAGGGGAGCAAACGGG
rnacentral:rRNA from 1 species